UACGAAGGGUGCUAGCGUUACUCGGAAUUACUGGGCGUAAAGAAUGCGUAGGCGGACUUGUAAGUUAGAAGUGAAAGCCCCGGGCUCAACCUGGGAAUUGCUUUUAAAACUGCAAGUCUUGAAUGUUGGAAUGAUUAGGGGAAUUCCUGGUGUAGGGGUAAUAUCCGUAGAUAUCAGGAGGAAGACCGGAAGCGAAAGCGCUUAAUUAGCCAAAUAUUGACGCUGAUGCAUGAAAGCGUGGGGAGCAAACAGG
rnacentral:rRNA from 1 species